rnacentral:ncRNA from 2 species
GGUCACGAUCGUCAGCGCCCGCGCGGCGAGUCCCGCGCGGUUCAUCGGCCCCGGCCCGCUGACAGGCAACCCUUCGACCGCGAUGGGGUGCCCCGGGUGACGACCUGGUCCCGCCACGGCGGCGGGACAAGCGCGGCCC